rnacentral:lncRNA from 1 species
UUGAUUGUUUGCCAUAUUGACAAGCUUCACAUAUUUUAUUCUUUUCAAACUUUAGUUUUGGCAAACCUAUCACGGAAUCUCUUUUAACUAAUUUUGAUAUUGUGUCCAUGCUUACAUAACCUAACUUACGGUGCCAUAACCAACUAGCAUCAUUAUCCUUAGUUUCAUUAACAACUAAACAUGGGUUAUGUUUGGCAAAAUCCUCAAGGUCUACAACAUACACAUUUCCACGUCUUAUUCCUUUAAAAACUAAACUAUUGUCAUUUGAGUUGGUUAUGAUGCAUAGUGAUGGUUUGAACAAAACAUCAAAACCUCUAUCACACAAUUGACCAAUGCUAAGUAGAUUAUGCUUAAGACCAUCAACAUAUCGAACAUUAUCAAUAAAAGUUGAAGGG